GCAAACGAGGAGGGAGGGAUGGACGUGAGUUUGAGAGCUAGUGACGGAGCGAAUUCCGUGGGAGUGAAAGAAUUGAGGAGUAGUUCUCUUGUUGGGAA
rnacentral:ribozyme from 1 species